rnacentral:lncRNA from 10 species
CACUAGAAAAAAGAAUGAACAUACAAAUGGAACUAAUUUAUAAACAUAUACAAAAAGUUAAGUCCCCUCUCUCGGUUACUGUAACCACUCAAGGGGUUCACCUUGCCCGCUACAUAGACAGACCAAUUCAUCAAGACAGGGAAAUUGCAAUAGAGAAAGAGUAAAUCACACAGAGCCAGCUGUGCAGGAGACUGGAGUUUUAUUCUUACUCAAAUCAGCCUCCCUGAGCAUUUGGGGAGCAGAAUUUUUAAGGAUAAUUUGGCAGAUGAGGGGAAGCCAGUGAGCCAGGAGUGCUGAUUGGUUAGAGAUGAAAUCGUAGGAAGUCGGAGCCGUCUUCUUUCAGAGUCAGUUCUGGGUGGGGGCCACAAGAUCAGAUGAGCCAGUUUAUUGAUCUGGGUGGUGCCAGCUGAUCCAUCAAGUGCAGGGUCUGCAGAAUAUCUCAACCACUGAUCUUUUUUUUUUUUUUUUUUUUUUGAGGAAUUAACAGUCUUUAUUGGGCUCAGACCAGGAGUCCGUGGGUCUUGAGGACUUCUGUGUAUUUGUCAAUUUUCUUCUCCACGUUCUUCUCGGCCUGUUUCCAUAGCCUCAUGAACUGUUUCUUCUUCCGGUAGUGGAUCUUGGCUUUCUCUUUCCUCUUCUCCUCCAGGGUGGCUGUCACUGCCUGGUACUUCAACUUGUUUCUGUAGAAAUUGCCAGAAAUGUUGAUGCCUUCACAGCAUACAACCACCACCUUCCGGCCCAGCAGUACCUGUUUAGCCACGAUGGCCGCCAGGUGGCCCAGGAGAUGGCCUCGACCAUCAAGCACCAGGACCUGUACCUCCGCCAUCUUCGGCAGCCGCUUGGGAAAGAAGCACUGAUCUUAGGAGCAGUUUAGGGGAGGGUUGGAAUCUUGUAGCUCCAGCUGCAUGACUCCUAAACCAUAAUUUCUAAUCUUGUGGUUAAUGUUCAUCCUACAAAGGCAAUCUAGUCCCCAGGCAAGAAGGAGGUCUGCUUUAAGAAAGGGUUGUUACCGUCUUUGUUUAAACUAUAAACUAAGUUUCUCCCAAAGUUAGUUCGGCCUACACCCAGGAAUGAAUAAGGACAGUCUGGAGGUUAGGAGCAAGAGGGAGUCAGUUAAGUUUGAUCUCCUUCACUGUCUCAGUCAUACUUUUCCAAAGGCAGUUUCAAGCUGAUUUUCCGCUGUGAGUACUUCCUAAAGGAGCCUGAUCUCUCACUGGUACGAGUGACCAGAGGAGGCCCUGCAAUGGCAAGCAGGAGGGGGAAAACAGAAAGGCCUAGAAAAUCAACUCCAACUGUUUGACAGCGUUGCUUUGAGAUGCAGGAAAUGAAGAGUGAUUGGAAUGGCCCGGUGUGAUGGUUCACGCCUAUAAUCCCAGCAUUUUGGGAGGCUGAGGCGGGCAGAUCACUUGAGGUCACGAGUUUGAGACCAGCCUGGCCAAUAUGUUGAAACCCUAUCUCUACUAAAAAUACAAAAAUUUGCCGGGCAUGGUGGUGCGUACGUGUAAUCCCAGCUACUUGGGAGGCUGAGGCAGGAGAAUCACUUGAAUCCGGGAGGCGGAGGUUGCAGUGAGUCGAGAUUGCACCACUAACAUUCCAGACUGGGCCACAGAAGGAGACCCUGACUCAAAAAAAAAAAAAAAGAGUGAUUGGCAAAGCGCCCUGCAGUGCCUGAUGUUAUUAUUAGUUCCUCUUUCACAUUCCUCUCUCAGGCCUUCAAAUUCCAGUAACCAAAGCUGUCAUUCACCUCAUGCUGUGAUGAGGACUGGGCAUGCAUUUUCUCAUUCAAUCUUGAUAGCAACUGGAUGAAAUGGACAUUAUAUGUAUCCCCACAUUAUAGGGAGGAAACUGAGACUUCAUAAGGUUAAUAUCUGGCCCAAGAGAACCAGAAUCAACUCCAAGUUUCUCCAGCCAGAGACUAGGCUGGUCAUCACCACUUUAGAUGGAGGCUGAUGCUCACUGCCUCCAAGGGUUUCUGUGGAUUGUAAGUGGAGCUCUGUGCCAUGGAGGAGAGACAGAAAGGAGGCCCCAACCCUGCAGGGCUGAAGAGGCUCCCCAAGACUGACGCCUGCUCACUGUCUCCUCCCAAAGGGCUUUUAAAGGAAACCAGGAAGUAACAUUGUUCCCCAUAUAUGGGGUCUGAUGGUGUCACUUUGAGUAGAGAAGAGGCUCCUAUGAGAUCCCAUUCUGAAAGGGAGCAGGCCAGCCUGGCCUUUGCAGGGAGGCAGUGCAUACCUGGACUAGAAGUUAGCUUUAUCACCAGCUCUUUAUUCUUUUAACAUUUGGUUAAUAAUCAUUCAUUAAACAUCAACUAUGUAUCAGGUUGUGUGCUAGGUCCUGAUUAAAAUAAAAAGUAUUGUUCCUGCCUUUAGAAAAGGUAAUAGUCUAAUUUGCAGAGAAGGCAAGUAGAUGAAGCUGUAAUACAAUGUAGGAAGUGCUGAAAAUGAGAAGCAGUUAGGAAUAAGACUGGGUUUAAUUCUGAGUUUGACAUGUAAGUGCAGUGGAGUUAUUUAAAAACUGUAAGCUUCAAUUUCCUCAGCUAUGAAAUGGGGAUAAUGAGACCUUCUACCUCUUAGGCUUUGUUGAAAGGAUUAAACAACAAAUGUAUGUAAAAUGUUUAACUCUAGGACUGUUCCUGGUUAUCUGGUGAAUAACUGCCAAUUCUCACAAUCUUGGGCAGGUGGCUAAACCCUUCCUCUUCGGCUUCCCAAUCUGUAAAUUCAGGCUGACACAUCUUCCAAACUUCUGGAUCUGUCAAUCAACAGAGGUCACCUAAAAACUCUGAGAGGAGUUACGAGAACAUAGAAGGAAUAAAAAGCCCUCAGAAGGGCCAGGUGCGGUGGCUGACGCCUGUAACCCCAGCACUUUGGGAGGCUGAGGUGGGCAGAUCACUUGAGGUCAGGAGUUUGAGACCAGCCUAGGCAACAUGGUGAAACCCCAUCUCUACUAAAAAUACAAAAAUUAGCGAGGCGUGGUAGUGCGCACCUGUAGUCCUGCUACUCAGGAGGCUGUGGUAGGAGGAUCACUUGAGCCCAGGAGGCAGAGCGAGCUGAGAGCAUGCCACUGCACUCCAGCCUGGGCAACAGAGACCCUGUCUCAAAAAGAAAAGGAAAAAAAAAAGCCCUCAGAGGGCUUCUAGAAAAGCUGGGAGACUAAGAGGAGCAAUGCAUUGAACACAGAAGUGAGUCAGUGUGAGCUGUAUGGUGUCUACUCUUCCCUCUGUGGUUCUUCAAAGGGAGUAGAGGGUGGGUGAUGGGGGUGACUCAAGAAUGCAUAGGACUUUAUCAAUCAAAUUCCCAUACGGAAUCAGAACAAGCCUGGCAGGUUCAUGGACCAGCGAAGAGAUUAGAGCAGAUCCUUUCAGGGAUCAUUUAGAUUAUCAUCAUAGACCUUCAGGGUCGCCUAACUGGGUGGAUGAGAACACCGCUGGGCUCAUGCUUUGCCCACAGUCCCAGCAGUCACCCUGCUGACUCAGAUGUCUUUCCUCAGAAGCUCUCUCCUGCAAGCGGCAGCUGCUGGGGUCACCUGUCCCCAGGUGCCUCAUCUCAUCUGGCUCCUCAAAACUCCUCCGCUCCACCCAUCAGCCUGCACCUUCCAGGAAUGCAGAUGCCAUGACCAAUCUGCGUCCACAGAGAAUGUUUGAGAAACACAGCUUGAAAGGCCAGUGAUGCCCCCACAGAGUGGCCAAUCACAUCUUGCUAGAGUUUUCUAUGCCAAUAAAACCAGAAAAAGCAAACAAACACUUUCAGCCUGACCCAAAGGAGAACAAAUGAGGCAGUUAUAAGAAGGUAGGGUGUGACCCUAUACACAUAAACCGGUAGAGCUGGAAAAAACUCCUUCAAAGAGAAUGGCUCACCUUGCUCCAUUUCCCUUGCAGCGAUUCCUGGGGCACGUCUAUUAUCAGCAAUUGCAGGCAUUAGUAAUGGAAAUGAAAUCCAUACCUCCCAGCUAACCAUCCCUGCCCAGUUACUUGUAGUUACUUAUCUGUUUCUAUCAAGUAGCACAUAUAUUAAAUUCAUGCCUAAAUAAACAAGAAAAAAAGGCUAAUUUCCUGGCAGGAAAUUCUUAUGUAAUUAGUCAACAGCUCCCGCCCCUGGUCCGUCACUAACCAGCACUGUGACCUUUAGCAGGUCCACUUCUCUUCAUCCCCCUCAGCACAACCUCAGGCCCAGCCCCCACAAGCCUCUCCUGGACCACCACAGUGGCUUCCAGCUGAUCUCCAUGUCUCUAGUUUUUCUUCUCUCCAAAGCAUUCCCCACUCUAGAAGCCUUUUGUGUAGAGAUCCUCCUAAAACCCCAAAUCUGCUCAACUCUCCUCAAAAUCCAUAACCUCUCAGCCUGGCCCAGUGGCUCACACCUGUAAUCCCAGCACUUUGGGAGACCAAGGCGAGAGGAUCACUUGAGGCCAGGAGUUUGAGACGAGCCUGGGCAACAUAGUUAGAUACCAUCUCUACAAAAAAUAAAAAAUUAACUGGGCAUGGUGGUGCUCACCUAUAGACCCAGCCACUCCGGAGGCUGAGUGGGGAGGAUGGCUUGAGCCCAGGAGGUCGAGGCUGUAGUGAGCUGUGCUCACGCCACUGCACUGCAGCCUGGGUGGCAAAACAAGACCCUAUCUCAAAAACAAACACAACCUCUCUUCACUUACUCUAGGACAAGUUCAGAAAACCAUGUAUGGCUUACAAAGUCAUUCGUGAUCUGGCCCCUGUUUACCAUUCCAGAAUGAUAUCUCUCUCUCCAUUCACCCUCUUUUUUUUUUUUUUUUUUUUUUUUUUUUUUUUGAGACUGAGUCUUGCUCUAUCGCCCAGGCUGGAGUGCAGUGGCACAAUUGAACCUCCUGGGUUCAACCAAUUCUCCAGCCUCAGCCUCCCAAGUAGCUGGGAUUACAGGCACACGCCAUCAUGCCCAGCUAAUUUUUGUAUUUUUAGUAAAGACAGAUUUCACCAUGUUGGCCAGGCUGGUCUCGAACUCGUGACCUCAAGCGAUCCGCCCACCUCAGCCUCCCAAAGUGCUGGGAUUACAGGCAUGAGCCACUGCGCCUGGCCUCUCCAUUCACUUUCUUAAAUUCUAUGUUCCAGCUGUAUAUUUACAUACCCACGGCUCCCUGUAUAAUACUAAUAAUAGCAACAAUGACCAUCAUCUAUUGUUUCCUAUGUAUCAGGUUUGUUCUAAAAAACUCUUCCUUCUGGUUCAAGUUGGUGUUUGAAAAAGAAAGACAAAUAAAAAUAGAUUAAUAAAAUACUUUCUGCAUUAACUUAUUUAAUAUUUACAACUCUACUAGAUAUUAACUAUAAUUAUCUCCAUUUCGCAG